CUCCACUCCAAACGUUUAACUAAAGAGAGAGGUAUGAGCCAGGGUCAAGACAUCUAGAAAGGGUGAGGAGAGGCUCUACCAGCAGGAAGCUCUUCCCACCCCAGUGUCUGAAGGGCAGCUGACAAGAGAAUCUCACUGGAUUUAUGGAGGAGAGACUACCUAAGGGGAGCAGUAAAAAUGAGAGUGCAGCUCUGCCCAGAUGGCCAUGUGAAGUUGGAGUGGGGAUUCCCCCAGUUGGACUCUCACAUACCUGUGGACCUCAAGUGCUCCUUCAUAUGUGUUUUCAAUGAACUUCAUCCAAACCACAUCAAAUGGCUGUGUAUAACACUAAGGAAAUGUCAUAUUGUCUCCUAGUCCUCUACCAUGUCUUUUACACACACUGAAGAUCAUGUGAAGAAAGAGAGAAGAUGGUCAUCUAUACACCAAGUUAAACGACCCUCAGAAGAAACCAACCCUAUGGACAACUUGAUCUUGAACUUCUAGCUUUCAGACCUCUAAGCAGAAAUUCAACCAAGUAACUG
rnacentral:lncRNA from 1 species